rfam:Bacillus galactosidilyticus strain PL133 scaffold000002, whole genome shotgun sequence.
UCCACCGUGAGGUGGAAUCUGAAGGAAGCCGGCGGCAAAAUCCCGAACCGACGGAGAGAAACUGCAUAUAAGGCUGAAUUGGAAUGGACGAGUUUGCUAAACAAAACAAAGUCCAAUACCUGCCCGAGUUCCAUACAGUAAAUGCAGCGGUUACAUGGGAGGAAGGUUAUAGCU